GUACUGCUGACGGGUCCCACAAUAGAAGGAAACGGCCGUCCAGUGC
rnacentral:hammerhead_ribozyme from 1 species